rnacentral:lncRNA from 1 species
AUCUCUGAUUUAUUCUACAGACUCACUUCUCAGUAUUCAAAAACUAUCUAUUACUUUUCGACAACAAAGAAACAAAGAGACAAAGAGGUAGCACCAAGCUUACUCCGGCUCAUAUCUAUCACAGUCUGGCACUCAGACUAACUUCUACAACUCAUAUAUACUUACUUCCUAUUCCUAGAUUCUAACCGUAAUCCUGUAAUUAACCGCUUGUAAUAACUAAGUUAACCAUCCAUCCUCUUCAACUCACUAUUCUAUGGACUAUUAGUCUAUUUUAUUAAUAUCUUACAGAAUCAAACUAAUAUCUAUUCUACAUAGCC